UUCCCAGGCUAGGGGUCGAAUCGGAGCUGUACCCACCGGCCUACACCAGAGCCACAGCAACGUGGGAUCCAAGCCGCGUCUGCAACCUACACCACAGCUCAUGGCAACACCGGAUCCUUAACCCACUGAGCGAGGCCAGGGAUCGAACCUGCAACCUUGUGGUUCCUAGUUGGAUUCCUUUAUGCUGCUCCACAAUGGGAACGCCUCUAGAACCUUUUCAAACCUGAAUCAGAUUGGACCCUUCCACCUGAGCUGCCUGAUCCACAUAUGAAUCCAGCUUUGAAAGUCCUGACCCAGAAAGGAGAGCCGUGGGGUCCAGUACUGAAACUCUAAGCUCGGUUGAGUUGCUCACAAGUUAAAUUUGGAGACAUGCUCCCCUGUCCUCUCUCCUAGUCUCCUGCAUGUCCUCCUGCCAGGUUUUUCUUCAGCGUUCGGGUCUUCGUGGGAUCCGGAGUCCGCCUCUGCGUGCGCUGCCAGGCGGGGAUCCGGCUCUUCCAUCAGUCGAGCUAUUCCGUCACCCUCAACAAACCAGGAAUAGAAAGGAGUUUUCUCAACAGAAAGGAAUUUUCUCAACCUGAUGAGAAGGAUCUACCAAAACUCCACCGUUAGUUACAUAAUGUUUAAUUAUUAAUGGGAAAGAUUGAAAGAUUCCCCCCGAGACCAAGAAUAAGACAAGGCAUAGGGCUGUUCCCAGGCCCGGAAUUGAAUCCAGCCAGAGCUUUGACCCGUAUCGCAGCUGCAGCAAUGCCAGAUCCUUCAACACGCUGUGCUGGGCUGGGGAUCCAACCAGUGUCCACAGAGACGAGCCUGGAUCUUAAGCUGCACCCAGCGGGAGAGACAGGGUGGCCACGGUGGUUCCAUCUCACUCAAAAUGGGAACGCAGGAGACGCCAAAGCAAAAGAACCACCAGGAACCCCUGUUCUGGAUUCGCUAACUCCGCAGAACUGCCACACAGGCUUUCUCUUUACUGAGGCGCGUGUGGAUGAGGCGCCUUUUACUCGGGACCACUUGCAGGUCGGCUACAGGCACCCUGACAGUUCACCUGGCCACGUCCUCGUGCCUCCCGGGAGGAGGGGUCUGCUCGGCAGCAGUCGGCACUCGGAGCCCCCGUCGGUGUCCACGCGCCACCCUCCUUCCGUGCACCUGCAGGGUUGUACGGACUAGAAGCCAGAAGGUUCCAGGUGCUUCCUCAGCUGCUCUGAGUGAAUC
ensembl:lncRNA